AAAUAGAUCUUUUUUGCUGCAGCCGUUUAUAUAAACCCCUGCUUCAUCAAGAAUCAAAAGGUAUUUCCAUCCAGUCUCCAGCUAAACUGUUUUCAUACAGGGAUGUUUCUAUAAACUGUACUGAGCCACCACACGGAAAAACCAAAUUAAAACAGCAGAAUGCAGCAGAGGAAGAAAAGAAAAAGAAACAGUUUUUCUCAUUUGGCAAAGUAAAAUCCUUGUUUUCUUCGCCAGAGAAGGAAAAUCCUCCCGAACAAUCAGCUGAUGAAAAAGAAGAAAAUUCUCGAGAGGAUGCCGCUCAGUAGAUAGACUUUUUUUUCCUUCUUUGCUGGUUUGUGGCUUUCGUAUAGGUUUCAGAUGUUCGAAAAAAGUGCAUUUGAUGUUAAAGAAUUUUAUAUUAAAUGAAUUUUCGGUGUUUAUCUAAAUUUUUGUGAAUAAUUCCGGCAUAAUGCAUGCUAUGAUGGAUAAUUAAAAAAACAAAAGAAUGAAACGCAGUAAAGUUCGUUAAGUAUAUAAAUCAAAUCAUAUGAACUAUUAUUAUAAGUAUAGAUUUGUUAUAAUCAUGUUUCCUGCAUAACAAAAAGAGAAGAAGAAGUAGGAGUACUGCUAAUUUGCAUUAUAUACAAUUUACUCAGACUGUUACCAACGGCCUUCAAGAACAGCAUGCGCACCUUAGUACCCUGAUAUUUAAUAAAAAUAAUGAAAGAUAUUUUACCUUAAAAUGAAAUUAUUUAUUAUUUUUAUGAAUAAUUGUCCACACAUUUAAACGUGUUCGCAUAAAACAUAAUUUUCUUUAUGAGUGCGCAGUAUUCGAUCAUAUCAUUUACGCACAAAGAAUGUCUUACCAAACCAUUCUAAAGAUUUAACAAUUUUUAACUAUCCUCCAACAGAUUUUUUUAAAAAAAAAUCAUAGCUGCUCCUUAGUGUAUACAGAAAUGAAAAUUCGAAACAUUUACAACAUAUAAUCCAAUUACCUUUUAGCCUGCUGACGGCAAAAUCAAUAUACGGACUUGGGAAGAACAGCAUUUUUAUUCGUUCUAUACGAAAGAAUUUUCAAAUAUUAGAUCAGAAAUAAAUGCAACUUUAACUUUUGAAAGCGUAUUUACAUAGUUAAUACGUUUUUCAAAAGCAAAAUACACAGAUAUGCCACAGGAAUGGUUGAAUGAUAGUAAAUGUUGCUUCAAAACGAGUUUCACAAAUAGUUUACCUUCUGGCUCCAACAAGUAACAUUAUUUUUGUUAUCAGAAAUAGUACAGUGGAAGCAAACGCCUUAAAUGCUUUCAAAUCAAUCGAAAACUCAGCCAUUAUUAUCUAUUGCUUUUACUAAGAAAUCUGACAUCAAGUUUUGCAGGAAAAGAAAAAAACUAAUGAGAUAAAACGUAUAGCACGAAAUUAGUCGGAUUUUGUGUAUUUUUAAACAAAAUGAAUUCUGCACAGAAAAAAAGGAAAUAACGUUUCAUUGACCCCCCAUCCAAAAAAAAAAAUGUUCUUCACAUCAAAAUUAAUACUUUUCUUAUGUUUUAUCAUACAUUAAAAUUUAAAAUAGCAAGUAUCGUUAAACUAUAUCGUCAUACGUAAGAAUGAAAUAAAAGAUAUUUUACCUUUUAUUUACAUAACAUAGUGUAUGAUAUUUCAGUACAUACAUCGUAAUAUAUUAGAAUUUUUCUUAAAAGAAUACGGCUUUUUGCUUAGAUACCUGAUUUUUCUUAUCUUUUAUCAUUAAUUAAAAUUUAAAAUAGCUAUCAUCGUUAAAUUAUAUCGUCAGACGUAAGAAUGAAAUAAAGAUAUUUUAACUUUUUUUUUACAUAAUAUAGUGUAUGAUAUUUCAAUACAGACAUCGUAUAAUGGUACAUGCAUCAUAUUAUAUUGGAAUUUUUCUAUUUAUUUCAAAAGAAUAUGGUUUGGAUCCUUGAUUCCCUAUACUUAAAUUUCUAACUUAUUAGAAAAAAAAAAAAAAAAAAAAAAAACUACCACCUUAAUUUUUUUUAAUAAGAACCGAAUUUUGAACAUUUUAGUUAGUUACAAAGUUUGUAACUUAACAUUUAAAGUAAAAUUACAAACACAUACCGGCUUUUAAAGAAACGCUGAUAUAUAUAAAAAAAAAGAAAAAUUUCUUUGUAUUCAAGUUGCUUUUUAUUCCCAAUGGCAGAUUAUGAACAGUUACAGGAGGGGAAAAAAAAAAAAAAAAAAGAGAGAUAGAGAGAAAGAAAGAAAGAAUACAGCAACACAGUGUUAAAGGAAGGGGAAAAAAAACUGUAAUAGUCUAUUAAUCUAACAUAUCUCUUACCUCCCAGUAACGCUCAGUGAGAACUCUUGUGCAGAGCAGGACAGUUGGGUAGAUGUGCGGCAUCCAUCACCUCUCCAGAGCUGCACAGAGUGCAUAUCCGAAAAGGAACAAUUUUGAAUAUGAAGAUGAUAUUGUAGGCAGCCAUGUCGGGUGGCAAGGCGGAAUUCGGCGACCGCUCUACGCCUUGGGCCAUUACACAAAUUCGGGAUAGCAUUUUUUGAAUAAAAAUUAGAAACACGAUAAUAGAGAUCUUUCUAAGCCCGUACUUUGAAAGAUCUUUUGAUAAGAUCCCUAACCGUAUGGAAAGGCAACGAACGAGAAAUAUUCUGCAUGAUUAAAGCACCCUUUUUUGCCAGGAAGUUGGCUUUCUCGUUACUUGGAACCCCACAGUGAGCAAGAACCCACUGGAGGACUAUAGUUUUCUCAAAUGAAGCUAGGUUUUUUAGAUAAUGUCAACAAUCCAAUAUGUCCUGUGAUAUGGGAUUUUUAUCUGAAGCGAUAGUGAACAGAGCAGCAUGGGAAGUAUUAAAGUUGCUUAUUACAUUAAAUUUAAAACUCCAUUUAAAAAAUGUAUUGAAGACAGUUGAACUUUACUGCAAUCUGGAAACAAAACUCUAGUCGCUAUACAAAUAGUUGAAUUUAACUGAACUUAUUUUUUAUGUUUUGUUGUUUGUAAUCCCCUUUUAUUAUAUUUAUGAUCAUUGAUACAUAUACAGCUUAUCUGAAUGCCAUGUAUGUUUAUACUCUGAAUAAUUCCGUUAAUAAAAUUUUAUGUUAGAAAUUGA